rnacentral:rRNA from 1 species
UACGGAGGGUGCUAGCGUUGUUCGGAAUCACUGGGCGUAAAGGGCGUGUAGGCGGUCUGUUAAGUCUGAUGUGAAAUCCCCUCGCUCAACGAGGGAACUGCGUCGGAUACUGGCAGACUCGAGUACCGGAGAGGAAGGUGGAAUUCCCGGUGUAGCGGUGAAAUGCGUAGAGAUCGGCAGGAACACCCAGGGGGAAACCAGUGGACUGGCACGGUGCUGACGCUCAGGUGCGAAAGCGUGGGGAGCGAACCGG